UACGUAGGGGGCAAGCGUUGUCCGGAAUCAUUGGGCGUAAAGAGCGUGUAGGCGGCUCGGUAAGUCCGCUCUGAAAGCCCGGGGCUCAACCCCGGGAGGCGGGCGGAUACUGUCGGGCUAGAGUCCGGAAGAGGCGAGUGGAAUUCCUGGUGUAGCGGUGAAAUGCGCAGAUAUCAGGAGGAACACCAAUGGCGAAGGCAGCUCGCUGGGACGGUACUGACGCUGAGGUGCGAAAGCGUGGGGAGCGAACAGG
rnacentral:rRNA from 1 species